UACGUAGGGGGCAAGCGUUGUCCGGAUUUAUUGGGCGUAAAGAGCGUGUAGGCGGCUAUGCAGGUCCGUUGUGAAAACUCGAGGCUCAACCUCGAGCUGUCGAUGGAAACCGUGUGGCUAGAGUCCGGAAGAGGAGAGCGGAAUUCCUGGUGUAGCGGUGAAAUGCGCAGAUAUCAGGAAGAACACCCGUGGCGAAGGCGGCUCCCUGGUACGUGACUGACGCUGAGACGCGAAAGCGUGGGGAGCGAACAGGAUUAGAUACCCUGGUAGUCCACGCCGUAAACGAUGGGUGCUAGGUGUGGGCGGUGUCGCCUCCGCCCGUGCCGAAGCUAACGCAUUAAGCACCCCGCCUGGGGAGUACGGCCGCAAGGCUA
rnacentral:rRNA from 1 species